rnacentral:rRNA from 1 species
UGGGGAAUUUUCCGCAAUGGGCGAAAGCCUGACGGAGCAAUACCGCGUGAGGGAGGAAGGCUCUUGGGUCGUAAACCUCUUUUCUCAGGGAAGAACACAAUGACGGUACCUGAGGAAUAAGCAUCGGCUAACUCCGUGCCAGCAGCCGCGGUAAUACGGAGGAUGCAAGCGUUAUCCGGAAUGAUUGGGCGUAAAGCGUCCGUAGGUGGUUUUGUAAGUCUGUGGUUAAAGCGCGAAGCUCAACUUCGUAAGGGCCAUGGAAACUACAUAACUUGAGUGAAGUAGGGGUAGAGGGAAUUCCCAGUGUAGCGGUGAAAUGCGUAGAGAUUGGGAAGAACACCGGUGGCGAAAGCGCUCUACUGGACUUAUACUGACACUGAGGGACGAAAGCUAGGGGAGCGAAAGGGAUUAGAUACCCCUGUAGUC